rnacentral:lncRNA from 1 species
CGACUCAGUCUUUAUUUUUAUUUUAUUUUUAUUUUUUUAAAAGAUUUUAUUUAUUUAUUUUAUUUAACAGAGAGAGAGAGAGAGAGGCAGAGACACAGGCAGAGGGAGAAGCAGGCUCCAUGCAGGGAGCCCGACGUGGGACUCGAUCCUUGGUCUCCAAGAUCACACCCCUGGCUGCAGGCGGCUCUAAACUGCUGCGCCACAGGGGCUGCCCUCGACUCUGUCUUUAAAGGGUAAACAGCCAGGUCAGAGGAUUUUGGAGUUUAAAAGUCUAGCCCCAGAUGGGACUCAGUCCACAUCUUUUUAUUUUACAGAUAAGAAAAAAUGAAAUUAGAGCCGGGAAGUGACUUGCCCAAGGCCAGAGGGCCAGAAGAGCUUCCUCUGUCUUCCGGAAACAUUCCAUCUCUUGGAGUUAGCUUUCCUCACCUAGAAAAUGCAGACACAAAGCCCUCUGGACAAGAGCCCAUGAAUAUUGUGAGAGGGCUUUGCAAACUGAAACGAGGGACUCAGCAUAACCUCGCCUAUCCUGAUGGAUACACUCAUCUAAUCCCCAUUUGACAAAAGAAGAAACCAAGUCCUGCACCUAGCUCCCUGCAGGGAGCCUGCUUCUCCCUCUGCCUGUGUCUCUGCCUCUCUGUGUCUCUC